UAAAGCAAGAAGACCCAGAAACGGAGAUAUGUAUGUCACUACCAAGAUAAGUGAAUGUCUCUACAAAUUCAACUCUUUCACCACAUUGAGAUGCACUUCUGAAGGCUGAGUCCAGGAAGUCGUUAAAAGCCUCAAUCUUAGUCUUGAUCCAGUACAAUCUGAAACCAAAACACUCUGAUUCCUCAUUCAGCUUCUCAAGUGCUGAAAUCAAAGCAUCCAUUGACUCUGCAAAGAUCAUAGCAUCAUCCAUGAAGUUAAGGUCAGUAAAUCUUUCCUCACCAAGAAAAGUACCUGAGUCA